rnacentral:rRNA from 2 species
ACUUAAAUUGAAGAGUUUGAUCAUGGCUCAGAUUGAACGCUGGCGGCAGGCCUAACACAUGCAAGUCGAGCGGUAGCACAGAGAGCUUGCUCUCGGGUGACGAGCGGCGGACGGGUGAGUAAUGUCUGGGAAACUGCCUGAUGGAGGGGGAUAACUACUGGAAACGGUAGCUAAUACCGCAUAACGUCGCAAGACCAAAGUGGGGGACCUUCGGGCCUCAUGCCAUCAGAUGUGCCCAGAUGGGAUUAGCUGGUAGGUGGGGUAACGGCUCACCUAGGCGACGAUCCCUAGCUGGUCUGAGAGGAUGACCAGCCACACUGGAACUGAGACACGGUCCAGACUCCUACGGGAGGCAGCAGUGGGGAAUAUUGCACAAUGGGCGCAAGCCUGAUGCAGCCAUGCCGCGUGUGUGAAGAAGGCCUUCGGGUUGUAAAGCACUUUCAGCGGGGAGGAAGGCGAUAAGGUUAAUAACCUUGUCGAUUGACGUUACCCGCAGAAGAAGCACCGGCUAACUCCGUGCCAGCAGCCGCGGUAAUACGGAGGGUGCAAGCGUUAAUCGGAAUUACUGGGCGUAAAGCGCACGCAGGCGGUCUGUCAAGUCGGAUGUGAAAUCCCCGGGCUCAACCUGGGAACUGCAUUCGAAACUGGCAGGCUAGAGUCUUGUAGAGGGGGGUAGAAUUCCAGGUGUAGCGGUGAAAUGCGUAGAGAUCUGGAGGAAUACCGGUGGCGAAGGCGGCCCCCUGGACAAAGACUGACGCUCAGGUGCGAAAGCGUGGGGAGCAAACAGGAUUAGAUACCCUGGUAGUCCACGCUGUAAACGAUGUCGAUUUGGAGGUUGUGCCCUUGAGGCGUGGCUUCCGGAGCUAACGCGUUAAAUCGACCGCCUGGGGAGUACGGCCGCAAGGUUAAAACUCAAAUGAAUUGACGGGGGCCCGCACAAGCGGUGGAGCAUGUGGUUUAAUUCGAUGCAACGCGAAGAACCUUACCUGGUCUUGACAUCCACAGAACUUUCCAGAGAUGGAUUGGUGCCUUCGGGAACUGUGAGACAGGUGCUGCAUGGCUGUCGUCAGCUCGUGUUGUGAAAUGUUGGGUUAAGUCCCGCAACGAGCGCAACCCUUAUCCUUUGUUGCCAGCGGUUAGGCCGGGAACUCAAAGGAGACUGCCAGUGAUAAACUGGAGGAAGGUGGGGAUGACGUCAAGUCAUCAUGGCCCUUACGACCAGGGCUACACACGUGCUACAAUGGCAUAUACAAAGAGAAGCGACCUCGCGAGAGCAAGCGGACCUCAUAAAGUAUGUCGUAGUCCGGAUUGGAGUCUGCAACUCGACUCCAUGAAGUCGGAAUCGCUAGUAAUCGUAGAUCAGAAUGCUACGGUGAAUACGUUCCCGGGCCUUGUACACACCGCCCGUCACACCAUGGGAGUGGGUUGCAAAAGAAGUAGGUAGCUUAACCUUCGGGAGGGCGCUUACCACUUUGUGAUUCAUGACUGGGGUGAAGUCGUAACAAGGUAACCGUAGGGGAACCUGCGGUUGGAUCACCUCCUUACCUUAAAGAA